UACGGGGGGUGCAAGCGUUGUUCGGAUUUACUGGGCGUAAAGGGCGCGUAGGCGGGCUGUCAAGUCUGGGGUGAAAUCCCACGGCUCAACCGUGGAACUGCCUUAGAUACUGACGGCCUCGAGGAAGGUAGGGGCAUGCGGAACUGUAGGUGGAGCGGUGAAAUGCGUUGAUAUCUACAGGAACUCCGGUGGCGAAAGCGGCGUGCUGGACCUUUUCUGACGCUGAGGCGCGAAAGCUAGGGGAGCAAACGGG
rnacentral:rRNA from 1 species